GAUGAACGCUGGCGGCGUGCCUAAUACAUGCAAGUCGAACGCUGGAAAUCUAGCUUGCUAGAUUGAAGGAGUGGCGAACGGGUGAGUAAUACAUAAGCAACCUACCCACGAAGACUGGGAUAAUCUCUGGAAACGGGGACUAAUACCGGAUAGGUAAUCGGAAGGCAUCUUCUGAUUAUUAAAGGUUAAAAACACUGGUGGAUGGGCUUAUGGCGCAUUAGUUAGUUGGUGAGGUAACGGCCCACCAAGACGAUGAUGCGUAGCCGGCCUGAGGGGGUGAACGGCCACAUUGGGACUGAGACACGGCCCAGACUCCUACGGGAGGCAGCAGUAGGGAAUUUUCGGCAAUGGGGGAAACCCUGACCGAGCAACGCCGCGUGAGUGAUGACGGCCUUCGGGUUGUAAAGCUCUGUUGUAAGGGAAGAACGGUAGAUAGAGAAUAUCUAAAUGACGGUACCUUACCAGAAAGCCACGGCUAACUACGUG
rnacentral:rRNA from 1 species